GGCCAGGAACGGAAGGUGUCCUUCCACAGAUCCAGAGAAAAGUUCUCGGCUCUAAAGGGGAUUCUGUUUGUUUCUGCGUUAAUAAGAUCGGUGGGAUCUAGAUUCCCUAAGGGGCCAAGACAUUGGAGGUGUGGCUGAUCGGUAGGGAUGACAAUUUUAUUGGACAGAUCCUAAUGAUUUUGAAGGUAAAAAGAAGAACAAAGAAAGAAAAAAAAUGUUCAGUAAAAUAAAUUGCGGAUGAAC
rnacentral:lncRNA from 1 species